GGGGAGGGGGUGUCGUGGAGGCGUCCGGGCUGCGGCGUUUGGCUGCGCCGAGGCCGGGUGGUUUGAGCCCACGGCACGCCUUGACUCCCGACUCACCAAGCAGAGUCCACAUCGCAUUAGUAGAUUCCUGCUGGACCUUCAAGGCACUGGGCACAUUGGAGGGCAAAGUAAGAAAAUCCCAGUGUUUGGGAAAUGUUUAAAGGAAAGAGCCUGGGUGAAGAAGGAUCCAGGACCUAGGGUUGGCCCCAAAGGAGUGACCCCCACUGGGGACAGGCAGUGUGAUUCAUUGCUGCCAAGCAUGUCUGUCCUAGGAAAAGGGAACCUCAGGGUGGACAUGAGAACAACAGCCCUGGUCAUGGCUGUGACCUGGUUAUAAGUUAACUUUAUGGGUCACUGAAUGUCUGGAAACAGACUAUAAAAAGAAGAAAGGGUCACCCAAGAGCUUUGUGUUGGAAAUGGCUGUGACCAGUUGCUUCUGGAAGGGAGAUGUAUUGACCGCCAUAAAACUUGAUAGGCUCGGGGCUUGUCUGUUAAGGCUGGAAUCGGAAGUAAACUCUGGACCUAAGUAAUUGGUACAAAGCUGUGUUUAAGAGCAGAAGCAGAGGGGAGUUUAUUCCAACUAGUAAACAUAUGGAGUCCAACCAGUGCACACGAUGGUCCCUUCCUGGUGACCUCUAAUCCCACAGGACUUUCUUUGGGCCCAUUCAGGUUAAGAAAAUGGGUACAGUUUGACUUUUACCAUACUGGAUUUUUUUUUUAAAUCUCCUUAUUCUUGGAACAGCAAAGCAUUUAAAGUAAAAAUAAAUUUAAAAUGGCAGUUACUGAAACUCGGUGUCCUUAACUAUGUCCAUUUUUGGGAAAGCAAUGCAUUAGACACAAUGUUAACUUCUAUUCAAUUAUCAUCUUUAAUUUUAGCAUGCUUUGAUUAGUCCAAAGUUAUUUAUUAAGCACAUACUUCACAUAAUCUGGUGUUAUAGAGCAUAACAUCUAAAAUUUGUAGACGACAAAUAAAAAAUAAAAAAAAGAUUCUGCCAGAAAUGCUUCAAAAAAAACACCAUUUUUUUGCACUUAGUGUUUUUCAAG